UACAGAGGGGGCAAGCGUUGUUCGGAAUUACUGGGCGUAAAGGGCGCGUAGGCGGCCUCUUAAGUCGAACGUGAAAUCCCCGGGCUCAACCCGGGAACUGCGUCCGAUACUGGGAGGCUUGAAUCCGGGAGAGGGAUGUGGAAUUCCAGGUGUAGCGGUGAAAUGCGCAGAUAUCAGGAGGAACACCGAUUGCGAAGGCAGCUCGCUGGGACGUCACUGACGCUGAGACGCGAAAGCGUGGGGAGCAAACAGG
rnacentral:rRNA from 1 species